ACGCGACCUCAGCUCAGGCGGGGCUAC
rnacentral:rRNA from 1 species